rnacentral:rRNA from 1 species
GAGUAACACGUGGGUAACCUGCCCAUCAGAAGGGGAUAACACUUGGAAACAGGUGCUAAUACCGUAUAACACUAUUUUCCGCAUGGAAGAAAGUUGAAAGGCGCUUUUGCGUCACUGAUGGAUGGACCCGCGGUGCAUUAGCUAGUUGGUGAGGUAACGGCUCACCAAGGCAACGAUGCAUAGCCGACCUGAGAGGGUGAUCGGCCACACUGGGACUGAGACACGGCCCAGACUCCUACGGGAGGCAGCAGUAGGGAAUCUUCGGCAAUGGACGAAAGUCUGACCGAGCAACGCCGCGUGAGUGAAGAAGGUUUUCGGAUCGUAAAACUCUGUUGUUAGAGAAGAACAAGGAUGAGAGUAAAAUGUUCAUCCCUUGACGGUAUCUAACCAGAAAGCCACGGCUAACUACGUGCCAGCAGCCGCGGUAAUACGUAGGUGGCAAGCGUUGUCCGGAUUUAUUGGGCGUAAAGCGAGCGCAGGCGGUUUCUUAAGUCUGAUGUGAAAGCCCCC